ensembl:lncRNA
ACUGAUCCACGGAAACGCAGCUCACUGAUCCUUGUCUAAGGGGAGACCUUCUGGGAGAAGGAACCUUAACCCCGAAAUGGAUCAGUGAAAAAGGUGUUCCGUUUUGCUUUUCAACUGGGCCGUCAUUAAGUGAGAAGAGGCUCGGAUCCUCUUCUGUGGCCAUCGACUCACCAGCCUCCCCAGAUCUACCCGUCUGUCGAGGUGACCGAGUCUCAGCAGAACAGCAGAACCAGAAGAGGCGGUCCAGAAUGCUAUAUGAAGAUAUAUUUCAGGAACAUAUGGACACGUCAGAUGUCACAGUGGGACUGUGAUAUUCCUGCAAUAUUAUGCUGGAGCCCUCAAAGAGGACAUGUGCCUGUGUGUGUCCCCCCAGACAAGCCCCCCCAGAUUUCUUUUUUAUGGGGACGAUCUAGUCAGAUACUGAAGAACUCAGUACUCAUUCUCUG